rnacentral:rRNA from 1 species
GUGGGGAAUCUUGCGCAAUGGGCGAAAGCCUGACGCAGCCAUGCCGCGUGAAUGAUGAAGGUCUUAGGAUUGUAAAAUUCUUUCACCGGGGACGAUAAUGACGGUACCCGGAGAAGAAGCCCCGGCUAACUUCGUGCCAGCAGCCGCGGUAAUACGAAGGGGGCGAGCGUUGUCCGGAAUUACUGGGCGUAAAGGGUGCGCAGGUGGCCUGACAAGUCAGAUGUGAAAUACCGAUGCUUAACGUCGGGGCUGCAUUUGAAACUAUGAGGCUGGAGUGCAGGAGAGGGAAGCGGAAUUCCUAGUGUAGCGGUGAAAUGCAUAGAUAUUAGGAGGAACACCAGUGGCGAAGGCGGCUUUCUGGACUGUAACUGACACUGAGGCACGAAAGCGUGGGGAGCAAACAGGAUUAGAUACCCGGGUAGUCC